AAGGAGCCCCCAAUGAGCCACCUCUCCUCACCCCCCAAAAAACAUAAGGGGGAGCGCAAAGGCCACAGUCUCCCCCAUGGUUCAGAAAGGGGUAGCUCCUCCCGGGACAAGGACCGAAGUGCGACGGUCAGUAGUUCAGUGCCCAUGCCUGCUGGAGGGAAGGGAAGCCAUCCUUCAUCUACACCCCAGAGGGUCCCCAACCGCCUGAUCCACGAGAAGUCACCAUACCUCCUACAACAUGCCUACAAUCCUGUGGACUGGUACCCCUGGGGACAGGAAGCCUUCGACAAGGCCAGGAAGGAAAACAAGCCGAUUUUCCUCUCAGUCGGGUACUCCACCUGCCACUGGUGCCACAUGAUGGAAGAGGAGUCCUUCCAGAAUGAGGAGAUCGGCCGCCUGCUCAGUGAGGACUUUGUGAGUGUGAAGGUAGACCGUGAGGAGCGGCCUGACGUGGACAAGGUGUACAUGAUGUUCGUGCAGGUGAGCAGCCCUCCUCGGGAGUGUAUGCGCCACAUGGGCUCAGAGCAGCUCCCCUCACCCUCGCCCUCUCUCCGCCAGGCCACCAGCAGCGGCGGGGGCUGGCCCAUGAAUGUGUGGCUGACUCCCAACCUCCAGCCCUUUGUCGGGGGCACCUAUUUCCCUCCUGAGGAUGGCUUGACCCGAGUCGGCUUCCGCACAGUGUUGCUGAGAAUACGAGAACAGUGGAAACAGAACAAGAACACCCUGCUAGAAAAUAGCCAGCGUGUCACCACUGCCCUGCUGGCCCGAUCAGAGAUCAGCGUGGGUGACCGCCAGCUGCCGCCCUCUGCCGCCACCGUGAACAAUCGCUGCUUCCAGCAGCUGGACGAGGGCUAUGAUGAGGAAUACGGUGGCUUCGCUGAGGCCCCCAAGUUUCCCACGCCGGUGAUCCUGAGCUUCCUGUUCUCCUACUGGCUCAGCCAUCGACUGACUCAGGAUGGCUCUCGGGCCCAGCAGAUGGCCUUGCAUACCCUGAAAAUGAUGGCUAACGGGGGCAUCCGGGACCAUGUGGGGCAGGGCUUUCACCGCUACUCCACAGACCGCCAGUGGCACGUCCCUCACUUUGAGAAGAUGCUCUAUGACCAGGCACAGCUCGCUGUGGCCUAUUCGCAGGCCUUCCAGCUCUCUGGUGAUGAAUUCUACUCUGACGUGGCCAAAGGCAUCCUGCAGUAUGUGGCUCGGAGCCUGAGCCACCGGUCCGGAGGCUUCUAUAGCGCAGAGGAUGCAGACUCGCCCCCAGAGCGGGGCCUGCGGCCCAAAGAGGGCGCCUACUAUGUGUGGACGGUCAAAGAGGUUCAGCAGCUCCUCCCGGAGCCUGUGUUGGGUGCCACUGAGCCGCUGACCUCAGGCCAGCUCCUCAUGAAGCACUACGGCCUCACAGAGGCUGGUAACAUCAGCCCCAGUCAGGUGAGGACUUCUGGGGUCACCUGACGGGCCCUGGUGCCUGCCAGGCAUGUGAGCUCGCAGACAAAGGCCAUUCUCCUCAGGACCCCAAGGGGGAGCUGCAGGGCCAGAAUGUGCUGACCGUCCGGUACUCGCUGGAGCUGACUGCUGCCCGCUUUGGCUUGGAUGUGGAGGCCGUGCGGACCUUGCUCAAUACAGGGCUGGAGAAGCUCUUCCAGGCCCGGAAGCAUCGGCCCAAGCCGCACCUGGACAGCAAGAUGCUGGCUGCCUGGAAUGGUGGGGCAGCACACCUGAGACCGAGCCUGUCUGGAGGAUCCCCCUUCACAAAGCCCCUGUCUUUCCGGCACCUGCUAAAUGCUCACUCUCCCUUGAUUAGCGUUAUUAUUCUCAGUUGACAAAAGAGGCUUAAGGAGCUUGAGUAACCCGCCCAAGGUCACGCGCA
rnacentral:sRNA from 1 species